GCAAUGACGCCAGCCCUUGAUCCCACCCGUCAUUGAACCAUACCCCCUCUCCCGCUGACGCCCGGACCGGCGUGUCAUCCCCGACCCCGAGCCGGUGUCCACCUCCAUGGCGGAGUCCGGCCCGAGCACCGCCUCGCCGUGUAGCCCCGCGCGGCCUCUCGAUCCCUGCAUGAAUGGAGGCGCUCCACCGCACCUCGACCCGAGUUCGCAGUCCUCGAAACCACUCGAAUCCGAGCUCCAAUUUCUUGCGGUGCCGCCGCCGCCGCCGCCACAGCUCCAGUCGACGCCAGAGACCACCACCGCCGUCUCCGAGGAGAGCAACGGAACUGCCGAGUCAAGCCGAGCCUCCCGAAUUCGAGUUCGAGUACUCCCUGGCGCCGCUAAAGCUCCGACAGAGCCCAACCGACGCCAGAGAACACCACCGACGUCUCCCAGGAAAGAAACGGAACCGCCGACUCAAGGCAAGUCUCCUGGACGCCUUCCCGAGGAGCAAGGAUCACCGGAGCCAGCUCAGCGAUAAGCCCCAAAGCCGCCGGCGCCGCCUGAACGCAUCUGAACCAAUAGAUCAAAACGUUCCACAUAUAUGUUGUUGAGAAAGUUGCACAGCAUCUUGGUAUGGAUGAUCCUUCAAAACUUCGCCUUACAAAGCACAUCCCGCAUUUACAGCAACCAGAUGUCUGACAUUUUUUAUUAUGAGACACUGACAUUCCUUUGCAGAACUGCAAGGUCCGAUAACAUUGAGUUGCUUUUCACCAAGCUACACACAAUGAGGUUGAGCUAUCACAAAGUGAUGCUGGACUUAGCUAUUUCAGGUCAACAAUAACAAGAUAUCGAAGGUGUACCAGCCAACUGAGAAAAUAGAUGCAGUUCAUGAUCCAAACCUCUUCAUGUUGAGGAGGUAUGCAACAUUAACACAAAUACUGUUUACAGUCUCCUAGAAGCUUUAAAGGCUUAACCUCGGGCCAUUUACUCCUAUUGCAACUCCAUUCCUUAUUUUCUUGCUUGGUUUGAUAACGGAGUGACAUGGUCCAUGUCCAUCUCAUGCAUUAUAAGCACUUCAUGUAAUUACCCAUUCCCCGAAUACACUAGUCAUCGUCUCCUUUCCCGUAUUUCUCUUAGUCUCACUCCCAAACACUUCAUGAUCCGACAGAGGGAAUGCCAACAACCAUGGCAUUGUCCCCUUCGGUCGUUCAUGCCACUUGAGAGGAUGAAGGCUCAUGUGAAAGGCAUCGGCGCUAGCGAGUUUGCCACCAUCCUAGCCACGACGACAAUGCCGUUGAGUAUAUAGUGGAGGGUAGAGUAGCAAAGUGGCACAACGACACUGCGGGAGGUGGUGCACUCGAACGGGGGCAUUGUAGUCUGUUUCUUCUUCCGGGCGAGUGACAGGCAUAUAGACAAGGCUUCCAACAAAAUGUCGAUAAAGCGUUGGAUCAGACAACGGGUCAACAUCAUUAGCAGGGAGGUGAACAUCAAGCUCCAUGGGAGUCUCAAGAGUGCGCUCAUCAGUAAGAGCAGCACGAGUAAGAAGAUCAUGGAUUAUUUUUGAGCAAGAAGGGACCUCAAUCCCAAGAAUUUAGCGAGGAGGGCCAAGAUAAGACAUCAGAAAUUGCUAACUAAGACGUGCCUUCACAAAGGUAAUAUACUCACGGUCUUCGCCCGGUGAUGAUCAUGUCAUCAACAUAUAGAAGAAGAGUCCUACCAAGAGCAGAAAAGUUGACAAACAACGUAGGAUCAUGAGCACUUGUUUGAAACCAGCGGCAGCCACCAUAGAGGCAAAAUGCUCAAACCAGGCGCGAGGGGCUUGCUUAAAGCUAUAGGGAGAGGGAUGAAGAUGACAAAGCAUGUCGUCAGGAGCAGAAUACCCAGGUGGUUGCUGCAUGUAAACCUCCUCAUGCAGCUCACCAUUAAGAAAGGCUUUCUUAAUAACAAGCCGAUACACAGACCAAUGGAGGCAUUCUUAACAUCAAGCCAAGACAUAGACUAGUGGCGAAUAGAGGCCACAAUAAGAAGUGUGCAACAAUGGUCAGACGGUUUGCGAGAGAAAAAAAUCUCAUUGUAAUCACGACCAUGCUCUUUCUGAAAGCCACGAGCCACAAGACGAACUUUGUAAGGCUCAAGAGAACCAUCAGAGUGAGUCUUAACCUUGUAGACCCACCAAGUGAUGGGACGAACACGAGGAGGAGCAAAAACAAUACCCCACGUGCCGAUGCGCUCAAGAGCAGCAGUCUCCUCUGCCAUCGCAAUAUGCCAUCUGGUAUGAACAACAUCACUAUAAGAAGUCGGCUCAAGAACAACAGCGCCAACACUUGGAAGACCAAGGUGGUUAACAGGCCAAAGCGUUAGAAGACGCAAGCCAUAAGUAGGCGGAGACGGGGAACAUGGCACAUCAGUAGACGCAUCCACAACACGCAGAUGACGUGUAUAUAAGACAUAAGUUAGGAAAAAAGAUGAAAGAAUAUGAGCAAGAAUGAUCGGAAUAAACUCAGGUGAUGGAGAGGCAAGGAAGCAACAAGGUGUAGAAUCAUGUGAUAAGCGAGGUGAGGAAAUCAUAGGAGAUGAUGGCGUUGGUUCUACAAUAAUCAGGGAAGCAAGAGUAGUACAUCAAAUGCAUAAUGGCUCAAUAGGACUGGUAGGAGUGUCGGGAAAAUUGUGGAAAGAGAUAUACUCCACUGAAAUGGUCGAGGAAGAUGGACGCGGAUAGUAGGGACGAGACUCAUCAAAAGUUAUCCCCUGAGAAAUAGGUAUCCGAAGACCAACAUGAUCCCAAUAGCGAUAUCCCUUAUGCUCAUCGUUGUAUCCUAAGAAGACACACGCAAUGGACUGAGCAGUUAGUUUGGUGCGUUCACGUGGGAGCAAGAAAGACAUAGCAAAACACAACCAAAUAAUUGAAGCGCCGAAUAAUCAGGAAACGAUCGAAUAGAUGCUCAAAAGUAGCGCCACCCUUCAGAGCAGUGGAUUGCUGAAGGUUGAUGAAAUAGAUGGAAGUGGAGACAGCCUCGGCCCAAAAGUGCAAGGGAAGAGAGGUAGUGGCCAUCAACGGACGAGCUGUCUUAAGAAGGUGAUGAUGCUUACGCUCAACCAUGCCAUUCUGAGCAUGUGCACCUGGAUAAGAGAACCAAAUGCAAGAGUAUCUUGCUCAUCAAGGAUAUGCAACAACUUGGGAGAUAUACUCUCCACCAAAGUCAUCAAAGAACACACGAAUAGGCGUAGAGAACAGAAUAUGAACCGUGACAGCAAAACGCUUAUAGAUAAGACCUCACUACGAGAAGAAAUAAAGUAUAUCCAUGUGUCUGGGUCAAAGCUAUUUUUAGUGUUUGGGUCAAAUUAUUAUUUGCAAGAAGGGGUUAGAGUUUGCCUGAAAGACAAGAUUAUCAUUUGGGUUUGAUAUAUGACUAUAUCCCACUCAGUCAUGUUUUGCAUCAAAGGUGUGGCCCACUUUGGAGAAGAAUACACCUACCAUUCUAGCAGCGGGCCUAUAACUUAUCUCGGCACUUCUGUUUAGGCCUCAUUCCCCUAAUACACUAGUCACCGUCUCCUUUUCCGUAUUUCUCCUAGUCUCACUCCCAAACACUUCACGAUUCAAGACAGGGAAUGCUAGCAGCCUUGGCGGCAUGUCCCCUUAGGCCGUUCAUGCCACUUGAUAAGCUGAAGGCUCUCGCAACAUCGUGUGAGAGGCAUCAACUCUAGCGAGUUUGCCACAAUCCUGGCAACGAUGACGUUGUAGGAGGUGCACUAGAACGGGGGCACUGUAGUCUGUUUCUUCUUCUGGGCGAGUGGCAGCCAGAUAGACAAGACUCCCAACAAGAUGACGAUAAAGCGUUAAAUCAGACAAAGGGUCACCAUUAGUAGCACCGAGGUGAACAUUGAGCUCCAUGAGAGUCUCAACAGUGCGCGCGCUCAUCAGUAAGAGCAACAAGGGCAAGAAGAUCAUGCAUUAUUAAUUUUGAGCAAGAAGAGACCUGAAACCCAAGAAAGUAGCAGGGCCAAGAUCAGACAUAGGAAACUCCUUACUAAAAUGUGCUGUCACAAAGGCAAUAUACUCGGGGUCUUUGCCGCCGAUGAUCAUAUCAUCAACAUAUAGAAGACUCGUACCAAGAGCAGAAAGGUGGACAAACAACGUAGGAUCAUGAGCACUCGCUGAAAACCAGCGGCAAUCACCCUAGAGGCAAAACACUCAAACUAGGCUCGAGGGGCUUGCUUAAAGCCAUAGAGAGAGCGAUGAAGACAACGAAGCAUGUCGUCAGGAGCAUAAUACCCAAGUGGUGGUUGCAUGUAAUCCUCCUCAUGUAGUUCACCAUUAAAAAAGGCAUUCUUAACAUCAAGCCAAGAUAGACCCGUGGCCAACAGAGGCCACAAGGGAAGUGUGCGAGCAGUGGUUAUAUGGUUUGCACGAGCAAAAAGCCUCAUAGUAAUCAGGACUCAUAAUCAGGACCAUGCUCCAGCUGAAAGCUACGAGCCACAAGACGAGCUUUGUAAUGCCCAAGAGAACCAUCAGAGCGAGUCAUAACAGCUUUGUAACGCUCAAGAGAACCAUCAGAGCGAGUCUAGACCCACCAAGUGAUGGGACGAACACGGGGAAGAGAAACAAUAUCCCACUUGCCGAAGCGCUCAAGAGCAGCAAUCUCCUCUGCCAUCGCAGUGUGCCACUUGGUAUGAACAUCAUCACGAUAAGAAGUCGGCUCAAGAACAAUAGCGCCAGCGCUUGGAAGACCAAGGCGGUCAACAGGUGGAAGCAGACGAGGAAGCAAGCCAUAAGUAGGCCGAGAUGGGGAAGAUGGCACAUCAGUAGACGCAUCCACAACAUGCGGACAAUGUGUAUAAAAGUGAGGAAAAGAUGUAAGAAUAUGAGUUGGAAUCAUCGGGAUAAACUAAGGUGAUGGAGAUAAGGAAGUCACCGGUGAUGAUGCUGUAGAAUCCUGUGAUAAGCGAGGUGAGGAAAUCAUUGGAUAUGAUGGCGUUGGAUCUGCAAUAAUCGGAGAAGCAGGAGUAGUACGACGAAUGGAUAAGGGCUCAACAUGAAUGAUAGUAGUGUUGGGAAAAUUGUGGAAAGACUCCACUGAACAUGUUGAGGAAGAUGGACGAGGCUGGUAGGGACGAGACUCAUCAGAAAUUAUAUUUUGAGAAAUAGGCAUCCGAAGACCAACAUGAUCCCAACAGUGAUAUCCUUAUGCUCAUCGCUGUAUCCUAAAAAGACACACACAACGGACUGAGCAGUUAGUUUGUUGCGUUCACGUGGGGCAAGGAGGACAUAGCAACACAACCAAACAAUUGAAGCGCCGAAUAAUCAUGAAAGGAUCGAAUAGAUGCUCAAAAGUAGCACCACCCUGCAGAGCAGUGAUUGCUGAAGGUUGAUGUGAUGGAUGGAAGUGGAGACAACCUCGGCCCAAAAGUGCGAGGGAAGAGAGGCAGUGGCCAUCAACAGACGAGUCUUCUCAAGAAGGUGACGAUCCUUGUGCUCAGCCAUGCCAUUCUGAGCAUGUCACCUGGAUAAGAGAACCGAAUAAAAGUACCCUGCUCAACAAGGAUUCCACACAACAACUUGGGAGAUAUACUCUCCACCAGAGACAUCACAGAACACAGGAAUAUGCGUAUAGAACUGAGUAUGAACCAUGGCAGCAAAACACUUAUAGAUAAGACCUCACUACGAGAAGAGGUGUGUCGAGAGAGGUCACCAGUGAUGACCUCCUUUGGAGGCAAAGGGACAUGGACCACCGACAUCAGAGUGAACAAGGUCGAAAGGUGGCUGAGACACUGUCUGCCUAUGAGUAUAAGGUAAUUGGACAUGUUUACCAAGCCGACAACCUUGACGGUUUAGAGACAUCGUCGGAUACGAAUCCAAGAAGACCAUGCCAAAUUAAGGAUGAGAGAUCACAAGUGACCCAAGGCAAUGAUGCCACUGCUCGAAAUAAUUGGUAGACAAGGCAACAAAGGCAGUGACUGGCGGUGGUGGCAGCAGAGGGACUUGAUCCAGCAUCCCACGUGCCUGUGCACUCUCCGUAUCUUGCGGAUCCGGAUUGGUGUUCUUCUCUUGUUUUCGGGUUGUGGGACACGCACUUGAUUAAGCACCCCAGGUUCUCCUACUGUGCACCCUUGGCCCCGGCUUUAGGUAGCGCCUGUCCUCGGCUCGUCCCGUGCAUAAUCCAGGUACGCGUCGACUGUCCAAGCUCCUGCUCACCAUUGGUGGUGCUCGAGCGUGCGGUUAUGGUGUCGCACAACAAGGGAACACGGGAUGUGGGAUUGAGACAGAGCCCAUAGCAACCCGUAGCAAGGCAGAGGAUGCUCAUCCAGACUGAUAGGGAGCGGAGGUUGACACAAACGUGGAUGUUGACUUCAUAGGAGUCUCAAUAGUGCGCUCAUUAGUAAGAGCAGCAUGAGCAGCACGAGCAAGAAGAUCUCAUGGAAGUAGCGAAGAGGACGAAGAACUAGGACGAAGAAAUAAGAAAUUCACUAUGAUGAGCCUUCACAAAGGCAAUGUACUUACAAUCAUCGCCAGUAAUGAUUGACAUGUUGAAGUGUUCGACCACAAGUUGAAUGGUGGACCGAAAGUGCAGGAAAUAAAGAAGCCAUUAGAGGUAGAAGAAACCUCAAGCUCAAGAAAGUAGCGAAGAGGACCAAGAUCAUACAUAAGAAAUUCACUAUGACGAGCCUUCACAAAGGCAAUGUACUUGAGUCGUUGCCAAUGAUGAUCGGCAUGUAGAAGUGUUCGACCAAAAGUUGAAUGGUGGACCGAAAGUGCAGGGUCAUGAGCACUCUCCAAAAACCAGCCGCAAUCACAACUGAGGGGAAGCACUCAAACUAGGCACGAGGGGUUUGCUUAUGUCCAUAUAGAUAGUGAUGAAGAUGAAAAACCAUGCCAUCAGGAAGAGAACCCAGGUGGUGGCUACGUGUAGGCAUUUUUGACAUCAAGAGAGACAAACCAUUGACGAAUAGAAGCCACAUUGAGAAGUGUGCGAAGAGUGGUCAUGUGGGCCAUAUAGGAGCAAAUGUCUCAUCGUAGUCAUGACCAUGUUCUCACCACUAGACAAGCUUUGUAACGCUCAAGAGAAUCACCAGUCUUAACCUCGUAGACCCACUUACAAGUGAUGAGACGAGCACAAGGAGGGAAAUGAGAUUCUACGUGCCGAUGCGGGCAAGAGCAUCAAUCUUCGAUGCCAUCACAUGCAUCCAUUCGGGAUAAACAACCUUACGAUAAGAUGGCGCGUCAGUAGAGACAUCCACAACAUGCGGACGAUGUGUAUAAAAGUGAGGAAAAGAUGGAGGAAUACAUGUUGGAAUCAUCGGGAUAAACUAAGGUGAUGGAGACAAGAAGGAAGCCACCGGUGAUGAUGCUGUAGAAUCCCAUGAUGGCAUUGGAUCUGCAAUCAUUGGAGAAGCAGGAGCAGUACGACGAAUGGAUUUGGGCCCAACAGGAGUGGAGAUAGAUGGAAGUGGAGACAGACUCGGCCCAAAAGUGCGAGGGAAGAGAGGCAGUGAUCAUCGACGGACGAGCCGUCUCAAGAAGGUGACGAUGCUUGUGCUCAGCCACACCAUUCUGAGCAUGUGCACAUGGAUAAGAGAACCGAAUGCAAGAGUACCCUAUUCAACAAGGAUUCCAUGCAACAGCUUGGGAGAUAUACUCUCCACUAGAGUCAUCACAGAACACACGAAUAGACGUAUAGAAUUGAGUAUGAAGCAUGGCAACAAAACGCUUAUAGAUAAGACCUCACUACGACAAGAAAUAAAGUAUAUAUAUCCAAGUGAUGACUUCCUUUGGAGACAAUGGGAGAUGGACCACCGACAUCAGAGUGAAGAAGGUCGAAAGGUGGCUGAGACACUGUCUUGCUAUGAGUACAAGGUAAUUGGACCUGUUUACCAAGCUGACAACCUUGACGGUUUAGAGACAUCGUCGGGUACGAAUCCAAGAAGACCACGUCAAACUAAGGAUGAGAGAUCACAAUUGACCCAAGGCGAUGAUGCCACUGCUGAAAAUAAUUGGUAGACAAGGCAACAGAGGCAGAGACUGGCGGCGGUGGCAAAAGAGAGACUUGAUCCAGCAUCCCAGGUGCAUGUGCACUCUCUGUACCCUGUCGAUCCGGAUUGGUGUUCUUCUCUUGCUUGCAGGUUGUGGGACACACUUGAUUAAGCACCCAGGUUCUCCUACUGUGCGCCCUUGGCCCCAGCUUUAGGUAGCGCCUGUCCUCGGCUCGUCCCGUGCAUAAUCCAGGUACGCGUCGACUGUCCGAGCUCCUGCUCACCAUGCUCACCAUUGGUUGUGCUCGAGCAUGCGGUUAUGGUGUCGCACAACAAGGGAACACGGGAUGCGGGAUUGAGACAGGGCCUAUAGCAACCCGCAGCAAGGUAAAAGAUGCCCAUCCAGACAGGCAGGGAGCGGAGGUGGACACAAAGGUGGAUGUUGACUUCAUAGGAGUCUCAAUAGUGCGCUCAUCAGUAAGAGCAACACGAGCAAGAUCUCAAAGAAGUAGCGAAGAGGACCAAGAUCAUGCAUAAGAAAUUGACUUUAACGAGCCUUCACAAAGGCAAUGUACUUCAUCGCCAGUGAUGAUCGACAUGUAGAAGUGUUCGACCACAAGUUGAAUGGUGGACAGAAGUGCGGGAAAUAAAGAAGCCAUUAGAGGUAGAAGAAACCUCAAUCUCAAGGAAGUAGCGAAGAGGACCAAGAUCAUACAUAAGAAAUUCACUAUGACGAGCCUUCACAAAGGCAAUGUACUUAGAGUCGUCGCCAGUGAUGAUCGACUUGUAGAAGUUUCCGACCACAAGUUGAAUGGUUCACCGAAAGUGCAGGAUCACGAGCACUUGCCAAAAACCCAGCCGCAAUCACCACUGAGGCGAAGCUCUCAAACCAGACACAAGGGGUUUGCUUAGAGCCAUAUAGAGAGUGAUGAAGAUGACAAACCAGGUGGUGGCUACAUGUAGGCAUUCUUGACAUCAAGAGAGACAGACCAGCGACGAAUAGAAGCCACAUUGAGAAGUGUGCGAAGAGUGAUCAUGUGGGCCAUAUAGGAGCAAAUGUCUCAUCGUAGUCAUGACCAUGUUCUAACCACUUGACAAGCUUUGUAACGCUCAAGAGAAUCACCAGUCUUAACCUUGUAGACCCACUUACAAGUGAUGAAACGAGCACGAGGACGGAAAUGAGUUCCACGUGCCGAUGCGGGCAAGAGCAUCAAUCUUCAAUGCCAUCACAUGCAGCCAUUCCGGAUGAACAACAACUCUCAUGAUAAGUCGUCCCGGGAAGAGCCGCGCAGUGACCAUAGCGGUCAAUAGGCUGAAGCGGGCGAGCUCGGAAGCCAUAAGUAGGCUGAGUUGGAGCCGGUGCCUUGCCAAUAAAAGAAAACAUAGUAGUCAAGGGAGAUGGCUCAUCAGAAGAAUCCACAACACGCGGACCACGAGACAAACUGACUCAAAAUAUGGACAGGAUAGGAGAUAUUUGGACGAGUAACAUCUUGAUAAACAAGAUUCCUAAUAAGAUGACGAUAACGCGUCGGAUUAGACAAGGGUCACCAUCAGUAGCAUGAAGGUGAGCAUUGAGCUCCAUGGGAGUCUCAACAAUGCACUCAUCAGUAAGAGCACGAGCAAGAUUCUGGGUAUAGUUUUCUUGGUAAAUGAAAAAACCAUCAGAGGUAGACCUCUAUCACAAGAAAGUCGAGAAGAGGGCCCAGGUUAGACAUAAGAAACUGCUCACUAAGACGUACCUUCACAAAGGCAAUAUACUUGGGGUCGUCGCCAUCGAUGAUCAUGUCGUCAACAUAUAGAAAAGGAGAGCCCAACCACGAUCAGAAAAAUAUAUCCAUCAGAGGUAGAAGAGACCUCUGUCCUAAGAAAGUAUUGAAAAGGGCCAAGAUCAGACAUAAUAAACUGCUCCCUAAGAUGUGCCUUCACAAAGGCAAUAUACUCAAGGUUGUCACCAUUCAUGAUCAUGUCAUCAACAUUCUAACCUAUAAUGAGGCUCGCCAACUUGGCCUCCUGGUGCUCCCCCAGAUUGAAGCUUUGUUGGCCAUUCGAUAGAGUUGCUUUUGGUCAACUGGUUCAUCACGGCCAUUAGAUUUGUUCUGCUAGUUUUCACCGCACGGUUAGUUUUCAGUAUUAUGACCGGUGGGCUCAUUCUUUCUCCUUAUUGGCUGGGUGAGCCCUUCGUGGGUGCGAGCAACCUUGUCCUCGCACGCCACGCGUCGUGCGGCUCGUCGUGGGCGUCUCCGCUGCUACAUGCAAACCCCAUUUGAACCCUAGCCUCCCAUCACAACCACCACAUCUGUCCCUCCUCCACCCCUCAUCCGUCGUCGUCCAUCUACACCUCGUAUCCCGGCUACUCUUGUACCUCUCGUUUUCCUCACCUCCCCAUUGCUUGCCCCCUUUCCCUGGGCGACAGGGUCUUAACGGCGGGGGUGGAGUAGGGAGGGUCAUUAGGCUAGCGGCGGAGGGAUGAAGCAGUGAGGCCCGAGCUCUAGGCGGUGCACACAUUGCGGACUCUAGACUCUUGUGUUGUUGAUUGGGUUUUGGUGCUCUAUGCUUACAAACUUUUGGGAUUUUGUCAAUGCCAAGGUAUGUGAUUGGUUUCUCCACUUCCACCCUAUGAUUUGCAAUUUCCCCAUAUGAUGCAUUGAUACCAUUUCAUUGUGUGAUUUUUCUACAGAAAAUAAUCAUCGGGUUUUCAAGUGUUAGCAUCGUGUGUAAGCCCAGCAUCAUUUCUAAGUAUAUGGCAUCCACGAAUUUCCCGAUAGUUUGUUCUGCACCAUGCUGCCUCAUGUAGGAUUUUGGCGCUCGUGAUCUACCUUAGGCAAUGUGUGAUGCCAUUUGCAACCUUCUUGUUGAGCAAGCUGAAACAGGAGUAACUCCAUUAAUCAUUCUGUAGCUGCAGGAGUGGGCGAUACUCAGCUGCGGACAGGCGCUGAUGACGGUGGCCGAGCUAGACUCCGUCAGGGACAGGGCACGCAUGUAUGUCGAGGCGCUCCAGGGCAGCGUGUGGAGCAGUUGUCUCUGGUCUCAUUUGAGUUUUGCUUCUGAGCUAUUAUCGAUUUCCCAUUUCUUUCGUCUGCACUAGAAGAUUGACCAUGUUCGAGGCUGUUAAGCACAGCGAUGUCCUGAUGGAGUCGUUAGAUUGUCCGAUGACCAAACCAGUUGCCGAGCAAACAUUGUCGCCGAUGCAGGAGCUGAACCCGAAGGGUAGAUCUGUGAGGCGCAGGGGGCAGCGGCUGCGGAGGGAGGAGGUUCACCAUGGGCAUCCAAGUAGUCGAUUGGUGAGAUGAAUCCUGAACCCCCUGGCUGGACCAAAGAUGAUGACUUGGAAACGAAACAGGUUGCAAGUUCAUCUGUAUCACCCAAAUUAAGAGAGGCAAUUAAUGUUUGCAAGAAAAAGAAAAGUUUGCAAGGAAAGAGAAGACAAUGGAACAUCAGGCCAUUUCUGUGAAAGAAUGCAAGUUUAAAGAGAUUAAUGAACUGAAAGCCCAAACGAACCAAGGGUACUCUAAUAUGGCUCGAAGGCUGACACCAGUGAAACAGAGCCAUGGCUCGGGGCGUCGAUGUCCAUGCCGGUCCGUGGAUCGGGAAACUUGCUUUCCGUGAAUUGCGACAGCAACCGAGUUAAUGCAUGGAUGGGGUGCAGGAUACAAUUAUCUCCUACCUCAUGCGCGUGGAUCCUUCCAGGGAGAGCGGUGGCCUCGGCGGACAAACUUCUGUACGAAACAAGAAGGUAGGUGCUGAAGAUGGAGUUUUUGAUGCAGCCAAUUAGAUUGCUCGAAUAUAACCAAUUUCUAUGUGUUCCGAGUGAAUUUUUUUUGCGGGUGACCAAUUUCUAUGUGUUCCGAGUGAUUUUUUUUUUGCGGGUGACCAAUUUCUAUGUGUUCCGAGUGAUUUUGAUAGUGCACCCUGAUAUGGAUCUUACAUUUUGCCGAUUUCGUUACGCGGUACAUGCUGAAAGAGGUGACUGACAGCUCCGAUGGAGCCUCUGCACUACCCCACUCGUCGCACUGGUUAUGGAACAGCUGGCGCCCAUGAGGAAAGUGAGUGCAGACGGGGAGAUCUGUGCGGCGGAGGCGGCGACGAAUGCAUUCGCUGCAAGGAUCUGAGCAGCCGAUUAAGCAGGACGACCCGAAAGCUCCUGGGGUGGACGCGUAGAGUGGGGAUUGGUGCUGCCGCAUCAGGCAGGAUGUUGUGUCCUAAUCGAGCUAAUGCACUCGAGAAGGCGAUUUGCGGUUUUGCCGAAAAUCCUGGAGACAAUUUGAUUGUUUCAAAAUUGGUACAAGCUUUGAUCUGCUUGCCGCAAUCCGGGCAGGGAAUCACCGGCAACGGCAGAUGAGGAAGAGGUACACAUCGGGCAGUGGAAGAGCACCGUCGAUCUGGUUUCUCUUAAUGGACUGAAGAUGAGUGGCCGAUCUGGCCGGAGUUGGAUUUAGCCGGUGAGGAAGGAGGCGAGACGUGCACUAGAAGAUUAGUAACUGCAACGGUGACAAUAAACAAUCUUUUUUUGAGGGAGGUGACAAUAAAUAAUCAAAAUUGAGCAGUAUGACUUUUUUUUUAGGAAUAUGACAAUAAAUAAAUGGGUUGGCAGUGUUGUAGUCCAAAAUCUCUCCGUUCAUGCCCAUUUAGUGACUGACUUCCGAACCGGUCCUAUA